UGUGUUUUCCCCAUUAGUAAAAGAGAUGAAAUGAAAAGGAGGUACUGGGGAGGAAGGGGUGACUGAGGAAAUAAGCACACAGAAAGGAGGAGGUAUGUUGGAAAUGAUAACUGAAAAUCAUUUGCUGUGCUAAAGGGAAAUUCAGGUAAGAAGUAAUUCCUUUUCAGACUGUUUUAGUAGAGGCUUGGGAAUGACUCGGCAAAUGCUGUUUUCAAACUGGGGAGCUGUGUGUGGUUAACUCUUCAAACACAGCUGGCUUGAUUUCCCCUUUCAGAUUCAACUGGAGCACUGAAAUUGCUGUUAGCAUCACUAUCAUUUGAAGCUGGUGCCUGGAGCCUUGCUGUGCUGGAGCUCCUUCCCAAAAAGCCCAGGCAGCAAGAGAGUUGUCAGGGAUGCCAGGGCAGCUGUGAUUUGAUGAUCUUCCAAAGCAAGUAGGAGGUUUGCUUGGGAUAUAACCUGUUUGUAAGGACAGCAAUGUUUGCUUAACUGCUCUGGCAACAUUAACUGGAACACUGUGACCUCACUGUUUGUGAUCAUGUGCUGUGAUGAGGGAAAAAUUAAAUUUUUGUUAGAAUCCUAAACUACUAGCAGAAAACCGAAGUUUUACCACACUCUAAACCACUGUUGCUGUUACUGAGAUCUAAAAUACAGACUUGUUUUCUCUGGAUUUAAGAUCUCUGGGGUGUGUUUUUUAAGGUUCUAGUAUUUGCUUAAACUGGAAGUCACACUCGUAUUACUUAAUCUUCUACUUUGGCUGUAUAAUUCUGUCUUUAAGCUUCAUUACACUAGGUGAAACUCAGCCCUUGCUAGUAGAAAGUCAGUACUUACAAACCACUGAACCGUGGGGAUCCAAGCAUUUGCCCUGACUGAGAACCAGAAUGUGACUGCAAUGUCCCAGGAACUGCAAGUGCUCCUGCUGUGAUCUUGGUAUGAGCAAGCUUUGCCUGCCAGCCUCCUGUCUAGUCCAUGUGAAAGCCCUGUCUUCUUCCCCAGCCUGAAACGAAUCCGUGCACCUGUGCAUGCCAAGUCCAGGAAAGACCAUGAACUGGAAAGCCUAUUUAUGAGCUCCUUAAAAUGGGCAUGCAGCAGAUGCAUUUAUCCUUGGAACAGGGUUUAUUAAAACUCUGACUGGGCAUGAAAAGCCAGUCAGCAUCCCUUGAAAACUGGAAUGUCUUCUAGGCUUGUUGUCUACCUGAGG